rnacentral:tRNA from 1 species
CGCGGGGUGGAGCAGUCUGGUAGCUCGUUGGGCUCAUAACCCAAAGGUCGCUGGUUCGAAUCCGGCCCCCGCUACCA